rnacentral:rRNA from 1 species
GCAUAACGCGAAGAACCUUACCAGGCCUUGACAUGCAGAGAACUUUCCAGAGAUGGAUUGGUGCCUUCGGGAACUCUGACACAGGUGCUGCAUGGCUGUCGUCAGCCCGUGUCGUGAGAUGUUGGGUUAAGUCCCGUAACGAGCGCAACCCUUGUCCUUAGUUACCAGCACGUAAUGGUGGGCACUCUAAGGAGACUGCCGGUGACAAACCGGAGGAAGGUGGGGAUGACGUCAAGUCAUCAUGGCCCUUACGGCCUGGGCUACACACGUGCUACAAUGGUCGGUACAGAGGGUUGCCAAGCCGCGAGGUGGAGCUAAUCCCAUAAAACCGAUCGUAGUCCGGAUCGCAGUCUGCAACUCGACUGCGUGAAGUCGGAAUCGCUAGUAAUCGCGAAUCAGAAUGUCGCGGUGAAUACGUUCCCGGGUCUUGUACACACCG